GGAAGGAUCAUUAAUGAAUUUUGAAGAGGGGGGCAUUACUAGGUUGUGCUGGCCUUUUGGCACUGUGCACACUGAACGGUCUCCUUUUUUAACCUUCUAUCACACCUGUGCACCUUUGCUAGGUCUUUCGGGACCUAGAGUUCUUUAUGAACACCUAGUCGGAUUUAUAUGAUUGUCAGCCGCUUUGUUUUUCAAGGUUGGCGGGCAAAGAAAUAAUAUUACAACUUUCAGCAACGGAUCUCUUGGCUCUCGCAUCGAUGAAGAACGCAGCGAAUUGCGAUAUGUAAUGUGAAUUGCAGAUUUUCAGUGAAUCAUCGAAUCUUUGAACGCACCUUGCGCUCCUUGGUAUUCCGAGGAGCAUGCCUGUUUGAGUGUCAUUAAAUUCUCAACCCCAUAUGAUUUGUUUCGUGUGUGGGCUUGGAUUGUGGGGGUUUGCUGGAUCCCCCUUUGUGGGUUCGGCUCCUCUGAAAUACAUUGGCGAAGCAUGUUGUGCGACCAGUGUCUCGGUGUGAUAAUGAUCAUCGUGGCAUGAAAGUGCAAUGUUUUAUAUGCUGCGCCUAUAGUCGUCCUGUGAUGGGACAAUACUUUUGAACCUUUGACCUCAAAUCAGG
rnacentral:rRNA from 1 species